UACAGAGGUCUCAACCGUUGUUCGGAUUCAUUGGGCGUAAAGGGUGCGUAGGCGGUCGUGCAAGUCGGAUGUGAAAUCUCAGGGCUCAACCCUGAAACUGCAUUCGAUACUGCGCGGCUAGAGUGCUGGAGGGGAGACUGGAAUUUACGGUGUAGCAGUGAAAUGCGUAGAUAUCGUAAGGAAGACCAGUGGCGAAGGCGACUUUCUGGCCUGUUCUUGACGCUGAGGCGCGAAAGCUAGGGGAGCAAACGGG
rnacentral:rRNA from 1 species